rnacentral:rRNA from 1 species
CGACUUGGAGGUUGUUCCCUUGAGGAGUGGCUUCCGGAGCUAACGCGUUAAGUCGACCGCCUGGGGAGUACGGCCGCAAGCCUAAAACUCAAAUGAAUUGACGGGUGCCCGCACAAGCGAUGGAGCAUGUGGUUUAAUUCGAUGCAACGCUAAGAACCUUACCUACUCUUGACAUCCAGAGAACUUAGCAGAGAUGCUUUGGUGCCUUCGGGAACUCUGAGACAGGUGCUGCAUGGAUGUCGUCAGCCCGGGUUGUGAAAUGUUGGGUUAGGUCCCGCAACGAGCGCAACCCUUAUCCUUUGUUGCCAGCGAUUCGUUCGGGAACUCGAAGGAGACUGCCGGUGAUAAACCGAAGGAAGGGGGGGAUGACGUCAAGUCAUCAUGGCCCUUACGGCCAGGGCUACACACGUGCUACAAUGGCGCAUACAAAGAGAAGCGACCUCGCGAGAGCAAGCGGACCUCAUAAAGUGCGUCGUAGUCCGGAUCGAAGUCUGCAACUCGACUCCGUGAAGUCGGAAUCGCUAGUACUCGUGGAUCAGAAUGCCACGUUAAUACGUUCCCGGGCCUUGUACACACCGCCCCGUCACACCAUGAGAGUGCGUUGCAAAAGAAGUAGGUAGCUUAACCUUCAGGAGGCCGCUUACCACUUUGUGAUUCAUGACUGGAGCGAAGUCGUAACAAGGUACC